rnacentral:rRNA from 1 species
GUGGGGAAUAUUGGACAAUGGGCGAAAGCCUGAUCCAGCCAUGCCGCGUGUGUGAAGAAGGUCUUCGGAUUGUAAAGCACUUUAAGUUGGGAGGAAGGGCAGUAAGCUAAUACCUUGCUGUUUUGACGUUACCGACAGAAUAAGCACCGGCUAACUUCGUGCCAGCAGCCGCGGUAAUACGAAGGGUGCAAGCGUUAAUCGGAAUUACUGGGCGUAAAGCGCGCGUAGGUGGUUCAGCAAGUUGGAGGUGAAAUCCCCGGGCUCAACCUGGGAACUGCCUCCAAAACUACUGAGCUAGAGUACGGUAGAGGGUAGUGGAAUUUCCUGUGUAGCGGUGAAAUGCGUAGAUAUAGGAAGGAACACCAGUGGCGAAGGCGACUACCUGGACUGAUACUGACACUGAGGUGCGAAAGCGUGGGGAGCAAACAGGAUUAGAAACCCUAGUAGUCC